CUGAAGUACCUCCACAUAGGGUUAGUGCCCUAGGUGUCCUAGGCCAAUGCAGGGGUUAGGAGACUGAAGCAGCAGCCCAGUCCUGUGUCCUCAUCUGGCUUGCUUUUCUGCUGCCCGGAGGACUGCUUGCAACCCCUGCAGGCUGGCGCUGCAGGCCACUGGACCAGAGGACACUCUGCUGCUGCUGGCCCCUAUACACCCUGAGCCUCAGGUCCUCCGCUCUCCUUGCCCUCAGUGACCCCGCCCCCUGCCAGUGCCUGCUGUGUCCUUAGGGUUACCUGGGGCCAUCUGGCAGAAGAGGAAGCAGAAGGCGAGCAGCAGCAGGCAGUGGGUCCUCAUGGCGGUCUGCAGGCUGGGACCUAAGGCUGGAGAGGACCAGAGGUUCCCUUGGGACCUGGGCUGGCAGAGGCUUCCGGAGGCUGGGAGUUUAGAUUUAGAAGGCAACUGCUGUGAGUUCACCUCAUUUGAUGCCGGGUGUUACCCAUGGUAAGUCCUCCCCAUCUCUCCCUCGGUUUUGGAUUGUCCCUGUGCACUCGUACAGUGAGAGUCUCUGCCCUCUCUGGGCUCCCUGUGCUGCUUGUUUCCCCAGAACCAUGCACCCCUUGUCCACCUCGAUUCCUAGUUGUGUCUCCUCGGCACAGGGAACCUGCGGCUCCACUGGGCCGAGGCCCUCCAGGCAGGGAGCUGGCACAGCCGGACUCUGCUCCCUGGACUCCUACCCAUCCAGGACAGCACCAUUUCGCUGCCUAGUACCUAGUGCCAUGAGAGCCAUCGUUUCCCCUCGAGCUUGUCCUUAAAUUUCUUCUUUAGUGUUUUAGGAUUGUCCAUAAUCUGCGGGCCCCGUGGAGGGCAGAAGACCGACAGUGUCCCAGGCAGGCGUAGAGUUUCAGUCCUCUCAAGGGUGAGGUGUGAUGGAUGGGCUGUGGGCACCGGGGCUGCAGCCAGCUGCUUCUGUGCCGUGUGUGGGGCACACACGUGUGUGAUGUGAGUGUGUCUCACAGCUGGGAUGCUGGCGCCCAGGUCCGCACGGUGGUGGCUCGUCCAUUUCCUGGUGCUUUCAGACACCAAUCAAGGUUUUCUUGAGAAGUAAAUACUAUUUGGAGAUACUGAAAAUCCUAUUUAAAAUCCUUUGUGAAAUACAAUCUUGGUGUUUUAAUCAAUUCUGAUUGAUUCGUUAAAAUAGUUAUAUGGGCGUAUUUUUUUAAUUGGUCCUCUUGGAGGCACCACGUUUUCUUUGAAGGAACACAAGGGUGUUAUGCUGCAUGUAGUCCGUAGAAACUCUACCCAGCAGAUGCCCUCUGUUGCGCACCCGUACCACUUCCUGUACCUCAUGGGCAAGUCUCAGAGGUGGCCAGGAGGGGGAUGGUCUCUUUCCUUCCAGCUUACCUCCCACUCGCCCUCCGAGUGUGUGUUACAGUAAUAUCUCUAUCAGGACUGAGUGCUGGAACGUGUCCCUCGCAGCCUAAAGCCAUGCUUGGAGUGGGACAGGAUUUAUAGUCAUGAAGGACUGGUUUCCUGAGGUGGCUGCAGGCUGUGUGCUGACCCAUGGGACUGAGGACAGACUUUGCCAAGGAAGCUGCGGCCAUCAUAGACACCGACCUACAGGCCUGUGCCCAGGGCUGCUGCUUUCUGCCAAUUUGAAUCGGAGUAUUCGAGCUGAGUCUCUGCCCUGUGCAGGGCACAGGCGCCCUGCCAGGCACCAGCCAGGGCUGUGACCUUACUGCCCUCAACUUGAACAGCCACGGACACACACAACCACCCCAUGCAUCAGGUUCCUGAGUGAGCUGUUGAGUAACAAAGUGUUUUUGGAGUUUUAAAAAGUGAGGAGAAGGUGAACGAGGUUCCCCACAAUCAGACAUUUUACACACACAGGAGGUGAUUCCCUGGGGUGGAGGCCUUCCAGACAACAGCAGGAACCUCAGCUCUAGUGGGAACACGGAGGAUUCUGUGAGCUUUGCGGUAAACAGGCUGUAACCUGCCUGUGUGCACCUACCGAGCAGAGUCACUCCCCUGGGAGAGGUGGGACAGUGCCGACGGGGAGCCCUGAGGUCACUUUUCCCCUCUUGAGCCCUGCCCUGGUUUCUGGGAAUCUCGGAAGCCUGAGCAUACUCAGGGCUCCCCAAGACCUUUGCUCUAAAGGGAUCUGCAUGUGUUUCAUGUCAAGUAAGAUCGUGACUCUCCUUUUGUUGAACACCCACUGGAGUGUUUCUUUGAAGGUAUCUGUCUGUCUGUCUGUUGGUAUACCUGUGUUAGAUGAUCUGUGACAUACACGUGUGUAUUUAAUGCUGUGGAUUGUACACAGCUGGGCACAUGCCGUGUACGUGCCCAUCAUGCACUCUACCACUGACUACACCUCAGCCCCGAGGGUGUUUCUUACUGGAAAUAAAGGCAACCGGAAGGACAA